rnacentral:lncRNA from 10 species
GCCGCCCGGGCUGGAGGCACAGGGCGGCAGCUGUGACUGUGCUUACUAAAGAAAGCUGGUCUUCACCCCUGGGAGGUGGCGCAUAUGUGCUUCCAAAUGGGAGGCCGGAUGUGGCUGGGCCAGCUGAUAUUUUGGAGCCCAAGGACCGAUCGCCAAGGCCACGUCCUCAGGGUGGCCUUCAGAGGGAUCUAUUUCAGGAGGGACCCAGAAAGUCGGGACUACUGUGACCCUUGCGUUUUUUCCCCACCAGUGUUGGCUGGCUUGACUGGAGGAGAUGCUUUUGAAGGGCUCUGAGGUGCCUGGGAGGGGCCCUGGAAGCCAAGCCAGGAGGGGAGUUUUGGGGAGGCGGGAGUGGGGGAGGGUGCAAGAACAAGGCACAGGAGAGACCAGGGAAAGAUAAUUGGAGCCCUUGGAACUGAGCUCCCAGCGACAGCCUCUGCCCAUAGCGUGGAGAACGUUAAGUCCAGCUCCCUGGAGGCAGAAUUCAUCUCUGCGGUUUCCCUUCCAGAGCAUGUGGCCGGCAUCUCCACUAAGACGAAUCACAGCAGGGCAGGCCUGAAAAGACAUAUUUUGGAGAACAUGUAUUGACUGUUCCAGCUGUGAGCAUGCUUCCUGCCCUCCCUCCAGGCUGCCCAGCAGUGCCGCUGCUGCAAAUCCAGGGGUUGCUGAGAGGACGGACUGCUCACAGGGCAGCUGCUGAGGUACAGAACCCACAGGUCGGGGACACGGUCACUGCCAGCUGCCACUCAAGAAAGAAGACGUGGCAGGAAGUUGCUGUGAAAGGUGUGCUCCACUGGGCACCACAACAUACGGUUCAGACGUUUAAAGCCUGUCUCAGCCCAAUUUCCUCUCCAUUUGCUCCCUGGGUAAGGUAUCCCCCCUUCAGUGCAGGCAGAACUGGCGACUUGCUUCUAAUCAACAAAAUAUGGCAAAGGACUUCAGUCUUCCCUUGUCUUGGGUUCCAUUGUGGUGGCCAUCUU